UACGUAGGGGGCAAGCGUUGUCCGGAAUCAUUGGGCGUAAAGCGCGUGUAGGCGGCCCGAUAAGUCCGCUGUGAAAGUCCAGGGCUCAACCCUGGGAUGCCGGUGGAUACUGUCGGGCUCGAGUCCGGAAGAGGCGAGUGGAAUUCCUGGUGUAGCGGUGAAAUGCGCAGAUAUCAGGAGGAACACCAAUGGCGAAGGCAGCUCGCUGGGACGUGACUGACGCUGAGACGCGAAAGCGUGGGGAGCAGACAGG
rnacentral:rRNA from 1 species